GUUUUAUUAGAAUUGAGUUUGGUGUAUUAUGAGUAACUUCCAUGUAAUUAGAAUUCUGUAGUGCCAUUUGAAGUGUGUAACCUUCCCCCACUCUCUUUUUUCUACCUCCGGUCCAUAUAUACUGAAUUUAUGCCCCUUGAAAGAGACUCUGUAAAAGAAAAAGAGAUGUGUGACUUGUGAAUUGAGGAUUUUGAGUACUUCCGGGUUUCGGCGGUGGAACGCAUGCGAGAUGGACGGGCGCAUAGGAUGACGUCAUAGAAACUGGCCGCCGGACCGAAAACACCUGGAUCGAAUAAAGAGUUUUGUGGACAUUGG